rnacentral:rRNA from 1 species
UACAUAGGCAGGGCAAGCGUUGUUCGGAAUUAGCUAGGGCGUAAGAGUGUGUAGGCGGUGCUACUAAGUUCGGUGUGAAAUCUCCCGGCUCAACUGGGAGGGUGCGCUGAAACUGGGUGCGUCGAGGGUGGGAGAGGUAAGCGGAAUUCCUGGUGUAGCGGUGAAAUGCGUAGAUAUCGAGGAGGAACACCCUGUGGUGUAGACAGCUUACGUGGACCACGUUCUGACGCUGAGACACGAAAGCGUGGGUAGCAAACAGG